ACAACCCUCAGGCCCCCGGGCCUGGCGUUGGGGAUCGGCGAGGCGCCCCCUGCGGGCACACGCCGUCCCCCAAAUACAGUGGCGGUCCCGCCGCAGCUUCCAUUGCGUAGUAGCUAACACCUCGCAACUGGAGAGCGGCGCGGCCACGCCGUAAAACCCCCAACUUCUGAAUGUUGA
rnacentral:misc_RNA from 1 species